rnacentral:lncRNA from 1 species
AUCGGAAUUACACAAUAUCGGUGGUGGGCAAAUUCUGCGUACAUAUUCAACGUUGCUAACUCUUGAAGCGAGAGCACAAGUUAAGGAGCUCUCGGGAGAAAGAGUCUACAAGACUUUUCCGUUUCUCUCUUAUAAGGAGGCCUUCUUUGUAGAGCUCCACAAGGCGGGGAAGGGCUUACGCCUAUCUUUUCUGUCCAUUUCACAACACCUAUUACAAAAUUAACCCACCAGAAUUAGAAAAUUUAUUUAAAGUAAUAACUUACUAAACUGUAAAUUUUAUAAUUCGCUGAGUAAAAAGAGACUGACCUAGGUGACGGAAUCUUGCCUCUGUCACACCAACCUGUAAGGAUACACAUAAAAGUAUAUGAACCAAGCUUAGAAGAAGAAAUUGUAUUGUUUUCCUCUUUGUCAUUGUUUUUCUUGUUCUUUUCGUCUAGACCAGUAGUGGAUAUAUAUAUGGUUUUGAGUAGAC